rnacentral:lncRNA from 1 species
CCUUUACUAAUAUUUUCCCCCAGUUUCUUUUACAUAGUUAUUAUAUAACUAGAAAGAAAAAGACUGAAAUAAAUACAUCAAAACGAAAGCCAGACCCAAGGAAGCUCAAUGCAACUUUUAAUAUCCAACACAUGUGUUUUACCAAAUCCGUACUCCAAUUCCAAGGCCUUCUCCUUACUCAGAAUGUUUUCAAAGUUCCAAGGAGCCCCAAGAGAUCCAACAAAUGUUUAACACUCUGGAUAAUUAUAAUAGCAACAGAGUAGUGCAGUGUGGAAAUGCCAGCCCUCAGGCAUCCAAGUUCAGAGGGAGCUCCAGGGUCCCAAAGCAUGGCUUACCAAAAGGGGG